CAGAAACGCUGCGUCUCAUCUCUCUCUGAAUCUGAAUCAGUUCAUCAUCGAGUACUGAUGGAGAAACGGAGCUUUUUGAAGAUCCGAGACAAUUGAAUCAAAUGAUUCACAAAAUGUUUCAGUGAUUCGAAUCAGCGCACGCUCAAAACAACAAACAAUGAAAACUUGAAUAAACCAACUGAUUUUUUUUUAUUGACAUUGUAAUCUAUUAAAUAUAUACAAAUCAGUAAACACCAAAUAUAAUCUUAUUAUAAAUAUGAAUAUUGUCAGAAAGCCUAUUUCAGGAACUAAAGUUCAAUAGUAAGGUUUACUACAAAUAUUUUAUUUUGUGUUCCUUCAUGUGCUAGUUUUUUUUCUCAUCAGAUGAUUUCAGUCCAGUAACUCUGACUCUGACUGACUCCCUUACUAGUGUGCUGACUACUGAACUAGGGAGCAGAUUGAGACGAGAGAGAUUUAGUUUGUGUUUAUUUUUCUUUCUGUUCAUUGUUCUCAUCUUAAACAGGACAGUGUUCAAACACACAGAAAAACUCCUGCUGAAGAUACUGAGACACACACUGUUAUAAAGAUGGAGUUUAUUAAAGAGGAGAGUGAAGACAUGAAGAUAGAAGAGACAUUCAGAGUCAAACAUGAAGAUACUGAGACACACACUGUUAUAAAGAUGGAGUUUAUUAAAGAGGAGAGAGAAGAGAUGAAGAUUGAAGAAACAUUCAGAGUCAAACAUGAAGAUACUGAGACACAAACAGGUUAGUUUUCAUUCUCAAAGCUGAACUCAGUUUGAUUUGAUCCUUAUUAAAAUAUACAGCUCUACAGAAACCAGGAAAAAUAAUACAGAAGUAGCCCAAACAAAACAGUCAUUGAGUGUAACAUUAAACCCAAUAUGUACUGCUUUAUUAAAAACAAUCAAACACUUUUUUCUAUCACUUAUUUAUGCAACAGUCUCCGCAGAUUUCUUGAUUUUAAUUGAUUCUCAUUUUUAAGAACUGAUAUUGAUUCUUAAAUCGCAGUCUACGCUGUUUCAGCACUCUUUAUCUGCCGUGACAGAUCACUGUUGCCGCAAACAAAUCAGCAGUGAAGGAUCAUCUCUUCUGCUUUACUACUGAUUACAGCACAGAAUAAACAUGAAUGAACAUCAGACUGUGUGCUGAAA
ensembl:lncRNA